rnacentral:rRNA from 1 species
UACGUAGGAUGCGAGCGUUGUCCGGAUUAUUGGGCGUAAAGCGAACGUAGGCGGUUUCUUAAGUUUGGUCUUAAAGACCGAGGCUCAACCUCGGGAGUGGACUGAAUACUGGGGAACUAGAGGAUGUUAGAGGAAAGUGGAAUUCCUGGUGUAGCGGUGAAAUGCGCAGAUAUCAGGAAGAACACCCGUGGCUAAGGCGGCUCUCUAGUACGGUACUGGACG